rnacentral:rRNA from 1 species
GGGCUUGACAUCCCACGAACCUGCCUGAAAGGGCGGGGUGCCCGCAAGGGAGCGUGGAGACAGGUGGUGCAUGGCUGUCGUCAGCUCGUGUCGUGAGAUGUUGGGUUAAGUCCCGCAACGAGCGCAACCCUCACCCCUAGUUGCCACCGGGUAAUGCCGAGCACUCGAGGGGAACUGCCAGCGUCAAGCUGGAGGAAGGCGGGGAUGACGUCAAGUCAUCAUGCCCCUUACGCCCUGGGCUACACACGUGCUACAAUGGCCGGCACAAAGGGAUGCGAGACCGUAAGGUGGAGCUAAUCCCAAAAAGCUGGUCUAAGUUCAGAUUGCAGUCUGCAACUCGACUGCAUGAAGGAGGAAUCGCUAGUAAUCGCGCAUCAGCACGGCGCGGUGAAUACGUUCCCGGGCCUUGUACACACCGCCCGUCACACCACGAAAGCUGGCUGUACUCGAAGUCGCUGAG